UCAGUCCUCAAUCGGGUGCCAAUGGAAACGGUUCUCAGCACAUUUCAUCCUUAAUUUGAGGAAAUUUCACUGCACACUUUCACUGGAAAAGAGAUGAUCUAAUUUUUUCCUCUGGCCCGUUUUGUCCGUCAAGCUUGUGAUCCGACUCGAACCUCGUACAUCACUCAUUCGGCACGGAACUCACUGCCCGAGAGAAGCCCUAUUUGCAGGCCUAAAAUCGCCUUUUCGAGGUGGAGAAACGCAUUGCGGAUCAACCCAAACCACGGACAUGCUCCGCUGAACUGAGGAGGCUGCGCCAAUCGAGUAGUCACUAGUGGCAGAGGACGAGGACGAGAUGAUUCGGCUGGAUCUUUACAUUCCUGAGAGGUGCUACUUAGUACAUGGCCACGCAGAGGACGAGGAACACUGCAUCUGCAUUCUGUAAAACCGCCGCCUCUGCACAAGGACCUUGCCUUAGACUUAUCUUAUUAAUCGCCGAGAUUACGUAGGAUCCUGGUCCACUCCAAGAGAGUCCUGAUAACCCAACCUCGAGAAACCACUGGUACACGCGUUGGGGACAGCAGAUUCUCCUCCCAGGAUGGGAGGAUAUGACUCUCUCGCCAAUGCGGGCUAUUUAUUGAUCGCCAGGAUUGACUACCUAAAUUCUGUGAGUUUCACAGCCAAAGACUACAAUCGACCCCCAAUGGAACUAGCCCAAAUCCACUUGAGGGUUGGGGAAGUGGAUGAACCCAAGAUUUUCCUUCAGAUGUGCCUCCUUGCCCAAUGAGUCGCCUGCCGUGUGGCGUUGGCUAAAAUAAAUCUUCGAAAAGGUCUCCGAGGCAAAUCGAUGGGGCAAUUGAAGUGUUGCCCAAGGGGUUAGAAAAACCAAAUGCCAGUCGCCAGGUAAGGGUGUCCACUGCAUCCUGAUUUUUUGACUCCCAAACGCGUCCGCAGGACCCUGACUCGGUUGGAUCCCUUCGCCCCCAUGGUGACGUCCUCAUUGGACACGGACUUCCAGAGACUCCUCUGCUCAACCCGCCAGCGAAGCCCUGGCGACCAGAUGGCUUUUCCACCUCCUUGCGCUUCACUUCAAUGGCCUCGUCCAUUUUCAUGGGGUCUCUCUCAGAGAUGUAUCUUGGCCAGCGGCUCACUGCAUGGGACUCAUUUGGCAAGGGGGAAUAGCGGAGGGCAAAUCUUGGGCUUAUCCCCUUCACCGACCCCCAGGUGGGUUUGGGCCAGUCCCGUUUGGGGAUUUGGUAUAGCAAACGGGCAGGGCCUUGGUGAGGGGAUCGGGUGUCUCCUGCGGAUGCACUCGAUACCCUGGUCGGGGCCUUUGCCCACUGCCAGGCUAGUGAGUCACUCGAGCCAGUGGGAUUCAACAACUGCCACGACUUGAUGGGCAAAUGAAUCAACUCAUACGUGUGCGUUAGUUUAAAUCGCCGAAUGAGCACCGAUUAAGUAGCUGGCCCAACGAUUUGAAGGCCAUCAGAGGCUCCGGGAGGCGAAGCGUACCGGAUGACCAAGUGGAUGCAAGCUCUGGAAGGCACCAGGAGAAGUCUGAAGAACCCAAAUAGGACGGAAAAUGAUAGCAGCGAUAGGAUAGGAUUGAUUUCCGAAGAGGAGCGCCAGGAGAAGAUGUCUCUCGUUACCCAGUUAUGACUCAAGUGCAAGCAAGUUAAGACAGUGCCUUGAAAUUUUAGAAAAAUAUCCCCUAUGGAUGAAUAUGGAUAUGGAACAUGGAGUCUCCUGAAAGAUUGUGUAUGCCCUUCUAAAGUCUGAAGAACUCAAAAUUUAUAAAAAAGGCAGUGAUAUGAUACGCGGACAUAACCUGGGAAAUCAUUUUCAUUCAGAAUCGGAAAUUGAGGUUAUUUUCCAGGAAGAACCAGCUGGAGAGUCGCCUUCACUACCCAACUUUAAAUGGUUGAAAAAUAUCCUUUGAGUAAGGUACAUAUGGAACGCACCGCGAAAAUUGUGAAUGCCCUUCUAGAGUCUGAAGAACCCCAAAAAAGAAGAAGAAUGAUGACAGUAAAACUAGGACUUAAACUUCUGUCAGAAUCUGAUAACUAAACAAACUGCAAUCCAAUAACCUCCACUCUCUAAAUUAAUAUGGCUAUUAGUAAAAUGAAUGCUCAAAAAAUAAACAGAUUAGAAAAAAUAAA